GAACCUGCGGAAGGAUCAUUGU
rnacentral:rRNA from 4 species